UGCAGCCUCCAGCCCCGAUGUGCAGCUGGAAAUGGUGGAACAAUGUGAAGCCGGGUGACCCCCGUGGCUGACUCACUCCUGCCGUGAAGCUUGAUGGGGAUUCAGAGUGAAUCCAGAUCCCAGGGGCUGCAGAAUAACAUCCUCGGGUCCCUCCAGAUUCUCCCAGCCUGCCCCGGGAAGGGAAAUGGAUGCAGCAGGCCUGGCUCAGGGGCCGGUGACCUUCGAGGAGGUGGCUGUGUAUUUCACCAG